rnacentral:rRNA from 1 species
CUACGGGGCGCAGCAGUGGGGAAUAUUGGACAAUGGGGGAAACCCUGAUCCAGCAAUGCCGCGUGUGUGAAGAAGGCCUGCGGGUUGUAAAGCACUUUCGGUUGGGAGGACUGCUUCUAGCACUAAUAUUGUUGGAAGUUGACGUUACCUUCAGAAGAAGCACCGGCUAACUCCGUGCCAGCAGCCGCGGUAAUACGGAGGGUGCAAGCGUGUAAUCGGAAUUACUGGGCGUAAAGCGCGCGUAGGCGGCUAGAUCAGUCGGGUGUGAAAGCCCCGGGCUUAACCUGGGAACUGCAUCCGAUACUGUCUAGCUUGAGUACAGGAGAGGAGAGUGGAAUUCCACAUGUAGCGGUGAAAUGCGUAGAUAUGUGGAGGAACACCAAUGGCGAAGGCAGCUCUCUGGCCUGAUACUGACGCUGAGGUGCGAAAGCGUGGGGAGCAAACAGGAUUAGAUAUCCCUGUAGUC